GAUGAACGCUGGCGGUGUGCCUAAUACAUGCAAGUCGAGCGAACAGACGAGGGGCUUACUCCUCUGACGUUAGCGGCGGACGGGUGAGUAACACGUGGAUAACCUACCUAUAAGACUGGGAUAACUUCGGGAAACCGGAGCUAAUACCGGAUAACAUGUUGAACCGCAUGGUUCAACAGUGAAAGACGGUCUUGCUGUCACUUAUAGAUGGAUCCGCGUCGCAUUAGCUAGUUGGUAAGGUAACGGCUUACCAAGGCAACGAUGCGUAGCCGACCUGAGAGGGUGAUCGGCCACACUGGAACUGAGACACGGUCCAGACUCCUACGGGAGGCAGCAGUAGGGAAUCUUCCGCAAUGGGCGAAAGCCUGACGGAGCAACGCCGCGUGAGUGAAGAAGGUCUUCGGAUCGUAAAACUCUGUUAUUAGGGAAGAACAAAUGUGUAAGUAACUAUGCACGUCUUGACGGUACCUAAUCAGAAAGCCACGGCUAACUACGUG
rnacentral:rRNA from 1 species